rnacentral:rRNA from 1 species
AUUGAACGCUAGCGGGAUGCCUUACACAUGCAAGUCGAACGGCAGCGCGGACUUCGGUCUGGCGGCGAGUGGCGAACGGGUGAGUAAUGUAUCGGAACGUGCCCAGUAGCGGGGGAUAACUACUCGAAAGAGUAGCUAAUAACGCAUACGCCCUACGGGGGAAAGGGGGGGAUCGCAAGACCUCUCACUAUUGGAGCGGCCGAUAUCGGAGUAGCUAGUUGGUGAGGUAAAGGCUCACCAAGGCGACGAUCCGUAGCUGGUUUGAGAGGACGACCAGCCACACUGGGACUGAGACACGGCCCAGACUCCUACGGGAGGCAGCAGUGGGGAAUUUUGGACAAUGGGGGCAACCCUGAUCCAGCCAUUCCGCGUGUGCGAUGAAGGCCUUCGGGUUGUAAAGCACUUUUGGCAGGAAAGAAAUCGCACGGAUUAAUACUCUGAGUGGAUGACGGUACCUGCAGAAUAAGCACCGGCUAACUACGUGCCAGCCGCCGCAGUAA